GCCUUCGUGGUGUAAUGGUAGCACACUCGACGCGUAUUCGAGAGGUCCAUGUUCGAAUCCCGGAGAGGGCA
rnacentral:tRNA from 1 species